rnacentral:rRNA from 1 species
UUUGACCUCAAAUCAGGUAGGACUACCCGCUGAACUUAAGCAUAUCAAUAAGCCGGGAGGAA